rnacentral:rRNA from 1 species
CUGGCGGCAGGCCUAACACAUGCAAGUCGAGCGCUACCUUCGGGUGGAGCGGCGGACGGGUUAGUAACGCGUGGGAACGUACCCAGAUCUAAGGAAUAGCCACUGGAAACGGUAAGUAAUACCUUAUACGCCCUUCGGGGGAAAGAUUUAUCGGAUUUGGAUCGGCCCGCGUUAGAUUAGAUAGUUGGUGGGGUAAUGGCCUACCAAGUCUACGAUCUAUAGCUGGUUUUAGAGGAUGAUCAGCAACACUGGGACUGAGACACGGCCCAGACUCCUACGGGAGGCAGCAGUGGGGAAUCUUGGACAAUGGGCGCAAGCCUGAUCCAGCCAUGCCGCGUGAGUGAUGAAGGCCUUAGGGUCGUAAAGCUCUUUCGCCAGAGAUGAUAAUGACAGUAUCUGGUAAAGAAACCCCGGCUAACUCCGUGCCAGCAGCCGCGGUAAUACGGAGGGGGUUAGCGUUGUUCGGAAUUACUGGGCGUAAAGCGUACGUAGGCGGAUUAGUCAGUCAGAGGUGAAAUCCCAGGGCUCAACCCUGGAACUGCCUUUGAUACUGCUAGUCUUGAGUUCGAGAGAGGUGAGUGGAAUUCCAAGUGUAGAGGUGAAAUUCGUAGAUAUUUGGAGGAACACCAGUGGCGAAGGCGGCUCACUGGCUCGAUACUGACGCUGAGGUACGAAAGUGUGGGGAGCAAACAGGAUUAGAUACCCUGGUAGUCCACACCGUAAACGAUGAAUGCCAGUCGUCGGGCAGUAUACUGUUCGGUGACACACCUAACGGAUUAAGCAUU